rnacentral:lncRNA from 1 species
CAAAAUCCAGAAUACUCUUAACCUCCCUCCCCUUCUUUAUGGGUGUUGUAUACUUUUGAGAACAUUUGCUUCAUCAUUCUAAUUACUACCACAAAAACCAUAGGCUGCCCUUUUUCUGCAGUGUCAACAGCUACACCAUAUUUAGUUCAGAUAUCACUUUAGAUCAACCAAAUGCUAUAGAAGCUGUAAGAUCACCCCUUCAAAAGACCCAAAUGCCCUAUACUAUUUGUUGUAUUUCUCACUAUUGAACCAACUCCAGAACUGCAAAUUUUGAAUUGUCACACCAAGAUCUGGGGGUUUCUUCAACACCCAGUUGUAUAUAAGACAUGUAAGAGAUUGUCUUCCUUCUUGUUCUACUGAAGCUAAUGUGCUUUUUUCCCCAAGAUUCUGUGAUUUUUUUUAAUUUUUUUUUGGUACUUUUUGUGAGUUUUUCAUCUUGAUUUUACAAUUUUCUGAUCUGUUUAUGAUCAAGCCCUAUGGAAAUAAAUUUGAUGGAAAUUGGUUAUGUUAUGGAAGGGUGAUUCUGUGUUGACAUUGUUUUG